GAUGAACGCUGGCGGCGUGCCUAAUACAUGCAAGUCGAGCGAACAGACGAGGAGCUUGCUCCUCUGACGUUAGCGGCGGACGGGUGAGUAACACGUGGAUAACCUACCUAUAAGACUGGGAAAACUUCGGGAAACCGGCGCUAAUACCGGAUAAUAUAUUGAACCGUAUGGUUCAAUAGUGAAAGACGGUUUUGCUGUCACUUAUAGAUGGAUCCGCGCCGCAUUAGCUAGUUGGUAAGGUAACGGCUUACCAAGGCGACGAUGCGUAGCCGACCUGAGAGAGUGAUCGGCCACACUGGAACUGAGACACGGUCCAGACUCCUACGGGAGGCAGCAGUAGGGAAUCGGCCGCAAUAGGCGAAAGCCUGACGGAGCAACGCCGCGUGAGUGAUGAAGGUCUUCGGAUCGUAAAACUCUGUUAUGAGGGAAGAACAAAUGUGUAAGUAACUAUGCACGUCUUGACGGUACCUAGUCAGAAAGCCACGGCUAACUACGUG
rnacentral:rRNA from 1 species